rnacentral:rRNA from 1 species
AACGAACGCUGGCGGCGCGCCUAAUACAUGCAAGUCGAGCGAGAAGACGUAGCAAUACGUUUGUAAAGCGGCGAACGGGUGAGGAAUACAUGGGUAACCUACCCUCGAGUGGGGAAUAACUAGCCGAAAGGUUAGCUAAUACCGCGUACGCUCCUUGGACUUCGGUUCAGGGAGGAAAGCGAUACCGUGGGUAUCGCGCUCUUGGAUGGGCUCAUGUCCUAUCAGCUUGUUGGUGAGGUAACGGCUCACCAAGGCUUCGACGGGUAGCUGGUCUGAGAGGACAAUCAGCCACACUGGCACUGCGACACGGGCCAGACUCCUACGGGAGGCAGCAGUAAGGAAUAUUGCGCAAUGGGCGAAAGCCUGACGCAGCGACGCCGCGGUGGGGGAUGAAGGUCUUCGGAUUGUAAACCCCUUUCGGGAGGGAAGAUGGAACGAGCAAUCGUUCGGACGGUACCUCCAGAAGCAGCCACGGCUAACUUCGUGCCAGCAGCCGCGGUAAU